CCUUCGAUAGCUCAGUUGGUAGAGCGGUGGACUGUAGUGGUUGUUAUUUCAUGGUAAUCCAUAGGUCGCUGGUUCAAAUCCGGCUCGAAGGA
rfam:Pediculus humanus corporis strain TSDA 1103172096105, whole genome shotgun sequence.